CUAACAGUACGAAGCAAUCGCCAGUUCAUAGUUAUAGUUUUCCUUCAAUGUUAAAUGUUAUUGUUAUCUCAAGAAUGCAAGCUGAUCGGCAAAAAACGAAAGGUCGAAGAUUAAGAUGCGGCAAAAAAAACUUUGAUGGAGCCGUCUGUUGAUGCGCUGCUGAUGGUGACCAUGAAGGAUUUAAUUUUAAACAAAUUUGGCAAACAAUAAAGUGAAUGUUUUCAACAUGAAA